UGGGGAAUAUUGCACAAUGGGCGAAAGCCUGAUGCAGCAACGCCGCGUGAGUGAUGAAGGCCUUCGGGUUGUAAAGCUCUGUCUUUUGGGACGAUAAUGACGGUACCAAAGGAGGAAGCCACGGCUAACUACGUGCCAGCAGCCGCGGUAAUACGUAGGUGGCAAGCGUUGUCCGGAUUUACUGGGCGUAAAGGAUGCGUAGGCGGAUUUUUAAGUGAGAUGUGAAAUACCCGGGCUUAACUUGGGUGCUGCAUUUCAAACUGGGAAUCUAGAGUGCGGGAGAGGAGAAUGGAAUUCCUAGUGUAGCGGUGAAAUGCGUAGAGAUUAGGAAGAACACCAGUGGCGAAGGCGAUUCUCUGGACCGUAACUGACGCUGAGGCACGAAAGCGUGGGUAGCAAACAGGAUUAGAUACCCUGGUAGUCCACGCCGUAAACGAUGAGUACUAGGUGUAGGAGGUAUCGACCCCUUCUGUGCCGCAGUUAACACAAUAAGUACUCCGCCUGGGAAGUACGAUCGCAAGAUUAAAACUCAAAUGAAUUGAC
rnacentral:rRNA from 1 species